CCGGCACGGGUGAGUAACACGUAUCCAACCUGCCGUCUACUCUUGGACAGCCUUCUGAAGGAAGGUUAAUACAAGAUGGCAUCAUGAGUUCACAUGUUCACAUGAUUAAAGGUAUUCCGGUAGACGAUGGGGAUGCGUUCCAUUAGAUAGUAGGCGGGGUAACGGCCCACCUAGUCUUCGAUGGAUAGGGGUUCUGAGAGGAAGGUCCCCCACAUUGGAACUGAGACACGGUCCAA
rnacentral:rRNA from 1 species